UGCCAGCCGCCGCGGUAAUACGGAGGGGGUUAGCGUUGUUCGGAAUUACUGGGCGUAAAGCGCGCGUAGGCGGACUAUUAAGUCAGGGGUGAAAUCCCGGGGCUCAACCCCGGAAGUGCAUUGGAUACUGGCAGUCUUGAGUAUGGGAGAGGAAAGUGGAAUUCCGAGUGUAGGAGUGAAAUCCGUAGAUAUUCGGAGGAACACCAGUGGCGAAGGCGGCUUUCUGGACCGAUACUGACGCUGAGACGCGAAAGCGUGGGGAGCAAACAGGAUUAGAUA
rnacentral:rRNA from 1 species